rnacentral:rRNA from 1 species
CGUCGUGAGACAGUUCGGUCCCUAUCUGCCGUGGGCGCUGGAGAACUGAGGGGGGCUGCUCCUAGUACGAGAGGACCGGAGUGGACGCAUCACUGGUGUUCGGGUUGUCAUGCCAAUGGCACUGCCCGGUAGCUAAAUGCGGAAGAGAUAAGUGCUGAAAGCAUCUAAGUACGAAACUUGCCCCGAGAUGAGUUCUCCCUGAGACUUUAGGUCUCCUGAAGGAACGUUGAAGACGACGACGUUGAUAGGCCGGGUGUGUAAGCGCAGCGAUGCGUUGAGCUAACCGGUACUAAUGAACCGUGAGGCUUAACCUUACAACGCCGAAG